rnacentral:misc_RNA from 1 species
CAAUGAUCCAUACUAUCUUUUUAUUCCAGAACAAAGAUUCCUUAAUACAUAUAUCAUGAUGUAGAUAGUUGCUGACAAAGAAAUAUCUGGCUGUGGUAUUCAUGGUAAAAAUAAUAAAUUGAAGCAUUUUACUUUCAAAAGCACAGAUGAUAUUAUAUGAUUGUCCUUGUCAACAUCUAAGACAGUUUUGAGGUUGUUUGCUGGUUGUAACCUGUGUCACUAUAUCUCUGCAAAUUCAUAAAGUAACUUUUGAUUUCUAGGU